AUCCAGCUGAAGAGUCUCAAACAGGCCAAAACGCGUGUCCUUGAU
rnacentral:hammerhead_ribozyme from 1 species